GAUGAACGCUGGCGGCGUGCUUAACACAUGCAAGUCGAACGUAGCACUUUAACCUGAUUCUUCGGAUGAAGGUUUUUGUGACUGAGUGGCGGACGGGUGAGUAACGCGUGGGUAACCUGCCUCAUACAGGGGGAUAACAGUUAGAAAUGACUGCUAAUACCGCAUAAGACCACAGAGCCGCAUGGCUCGGUGGGAAAAACUCCGGUGGUAUGAGAUGGACCCGCGUCUGAUUAGGUAGUUGGUGGGGUAACGGCCUACCAAGCCAACGAUCAGUAGCCGACCUGAGAGGGUGACCGGCCACAUUGGGACUGAGACACGGCCCAAACUCCUACGGGAGGCAGCAGUGGGGAAUAUUGCACAAUGGGGGAAACCCUGAUGCAGCGACGCCGCGUGAGCGAAGAAGUAUUUCGGUAUGUAAAGCUCUAUCAGCAGGGAAGAAAAUGACGGUACCUGACUAAGAAGCACCGGCUAAAUACGUG
rnacentral:rRNA from 1 species